rnacentral:lncRNA from 1 species
GUAAUAUUUUCUAGGUUUGAUUAACCACCUCUAAAGAUUUUUGAAUAAUUAAAACCUUUUCUAACACAUUUUUCUUCAAAUUGUAUUUCUAUUUGUUUACAGGCUUGAUCUCAGUUUGUGCCUCGCCUGCAACGUUUUCCAUUACUGUGCACGGUUUGAAAAUGCCUUGAUGGUGACAAUCAUUGGGCUCCUGGGGUGUGAUCAGUGUGGUGAGCCUCCCUGACUUGCCUUUUACAUUUUCUUCAUUUUCCCACAAUUAAACAGAUUUUAGUCUUGUUUACAAUUAGCCUCUCACUUUUAAUUUUUUGUCAAUAGGGUAAUGUCAUUCGUUUUCAGGAUAAUUUUGUAAUAUAUGAUUUUCAAUUUCUUCAAGCUUGUAAACUAUGAUAUUUUCUUCUAACAGUCAAUUGAAUACUGAAACUAAUUCACCUUAAAAUUUAACAGUAAAUUCCACAUGUUACUCAUGCAAAUUUUCUUGCUAUCCCUAUAUAUAUAUAUAUAUAUAAAUAUCUCCACACACAUAUAUAUAUAAAAUAUAUAUGUAUAUACUUAUUUUGUGUGUGUGUGUGUGUGUGUUUGCCUGCAAUAGUAAUAUCGGCGUGCUUUAUGUGAGAUAACAUUUUAUCUAUAUCCUUUUUCUUCCGGUCCUAGUCCAUGAUUCUUUUAAAUAAUACCUACCAAUUUCUGUGUAAGAGAACUCUUAGGCCCUUCCUAAAGCAGGACAGCAUAUGAAACUCAUAAAGCAGAUCCAAUCAUGCUGAACCCUCCACUACUUCUCCCCACAGCAUCUUCAAGCUAAUUUUUCCUAAAUCUUCUGAUUAAAUGCCACUGUCCUAAGAUUUCUUCCAAAGUAUCGAGAUCCUCCUUUAAGACAAGGCUCCAGAGAAACAAGAGGGACCCAACCAGCGACACUGCUUGCAAGAUAGCUACUUCAUCCCAGCUAAAAUCAGCUCUAACUGCAUUAAAGUGACCUGCCCUCAUUAACAUCUCAAAUUCUGCACAUGUGCACAUGCUACUACAUGCGCCUUAAGAGAACAUGACUACUGGGCAAUAAAGCCAAAUCU